rnacentral:rRNA from 1 species
CCUACGGGAGGCUGCAGUGAGGAAUAUUGGUCAAUGGACGAGAGUCUGAACCAGCCAAGUAGCGUGAAGGAUGACUGCCCUAUGGGUUGUAAACUUCUUUUAUAUGGGAAUAAAACGUUCCACGUGUGGGAUUUUGUAUGUACCAUAUGAAUAAGGAUCGGCUAACUCCGUGCCAGCAGCCGCGGUAAUACGGAGGAUCCGAGCGUUAUCCGGAUUUAUUGGGUUUAAAGGGAGCGUAGGUGGAUUGUUAAGUCAGUUGUGAAAGUUUGCGGCUCAACCGUAAAAUUGCAGUUGAAACUGACAGUCUUGAGUACAGUAGAGGUGGGCGGAAUUCGUGGUGUAGCGGUGAAAUGCUUAGAUAUCACGAAGAACUCCGAUUGCGAAGGCAGUUCACUGGACUGCAACUGACACUGAGGCUCGAAAGUGUGGGUAUCAAACAGGAGUAGAUACCCUUGUAGUC